AGAGCGAACGCUGGCGGCAGACUUAACACAUGCAAGUCGAGGGGGCGUAGCAAUACGUCACCGGCGGACGGGUGCGUAACACGUGGGAAUGUACUUACUGGUUCGGAACAACUCAGGGAAACUUGAGCUAAUACCGAAUGUGCCCGAAAGGGGAAAGAUUUAUCGCCAGUAAAUCAGCCCGCGUCCGAUUAGCUAGUUGGUGGGGUAAAGGCCUACCAAGGCGACGAUGGGUAGCUGGUCUGAGAGGACGAUCAGCCACACUGGGACUGAGACACGGCCCAGACUCCUACGGGAGGCAGCAGUAGGGAAUCUUGCGCAAUGCGCGAAAGCGUGACGCAGCAACGCCGCGUGGGGGAAGAAGGCCCUCGGGUUGUAAACCCCUUUCAGUUUGGGACGAAGCUUCGUCGGUUAAUAGCCGACUGGAGUGACGGUACCUUCACAAGAAGCACCGGCUAACUACGUGCCAGCAGCCGC
rnacentral:rRNA from 1 species